rnacentral:rRNA from 1 species
UGGGGAAUUUUGGACAAUGGGCGAAAGCCUGAUCCAGCAAUGCCGCGUGUGUGAAGAAGGCCUUCGGGUUGUAAAGCACUUUUGUCCGGAAAGAAAUCCUUGGCUCUAAUACAGUCGGGGGAUGACGGUACCGGAAGAAUAAGCACCGGCUAACUACGUGCCAGCAGCCGCGGUAAUACGUAGGGUGCAAGCGUUAAUCGGAAUUACUGGGCGUAAAGCGUGCGCAGGCGGUUUGCUAAGACCGAUGUGAAAUCCCCGGGCUCAACCUGGGAACUGCAUUGGUGACUGGCAGGCUAGAGUAUGGCAGAGGGGGGUAGAAUUCCACGUGUAGCAGUGAAAUGCGUAGAGAUGUGGAGGAAUACCGAUGGCGAAGGCAGCCCCCUGGGCCAAUACUGACGCUCAUGCACGAAAGCGUGGGGAGCAAACAGGAUUAGAUACCCUGGUAGUCCACGCCCUAAACGAUGUCAACUAGUUGUUGGGGAUUCAUUUCCUAGUAACGUAGCUAACGCGUGAAGUUGACCGCCUGGGGAGUACGGUCGCAAGAUUAAAACUUAAA